AGUGGCGAACGGGUGAGUAAAGUAUCGGAACGUGGCCAGUCGUGGGGGAUAACCUAGCCAAAGUUACGCUUAUACCGCAUACGAUCUAUGGAUGAAAGCGGGGGAUCGCAAGACCUCGCGCGAUUGGAGCGGCCGAUAUCAGAUUAGGUAGUUGGUGGGGUAAAGGCUCACCCAGCCCGACGAUCUGUAGCUGGUCUGAGAGGACGACCAGCCACACUGGGACUGAGACACGGCCCAGACUCCUACGGGAGGCAGCAGUGGGGAAUUUUGGACAAUGGGCGCAAGCCUGAUCCAGCCAUGCCGCGUGCAGGAUGAAGGCCUUCGGGUUGUAAACUGCUUUUGUACGGAACGAAAAGGUUUGGCCUAAUAAGCUGAGCUCAUGACGGUACCGUAAGAAUAAGCACCGGCUAACUACGUGCCAGCAGCCGCGGUAAUACGUAGGGUGCGAGCGUUAAUCGGAAUUACUGGGCGUAAAGCGUGCGCAGGCGGUUAUGUAAGACAGAUGUGAAAUCCCCGGGCUCAACCUGGGAACUGCAUUAGUGACUGCAUAGCUGGAGUACGGAGAAAGGGGGAUGGAAUUCCGCGUGUAGCAGUGAAAUGCGUAGAUUAUGCGGAGAACACCGAAUGGCGAAGCAAUCCCCUGGGCCUGUACUGACGCUCAUGCACGAAAGCCGUGGG
rnacentral:rRNA from 1 species